UACGGAGGGUGCAAGCGUUGCUCGGAAUCACUGGGCGUAAAGUGACCGCAGGCGGCCUGACAAGUCGGAUGUGAAAGCCCUGGGCUCAACUCAGGAAUUGCAUUCGAAACUGGUAGGCUCGAGUACGGCAGAGGGGGGUAGAAUUCCACGUGUAGCAGUGAAAUGCGUAGAGAUGUGGAGGAAUACCGAUGGCGAAGGCAGCCCCCUGGACCUGUACUGACGCUCAUGCACGAAAGCGUGGGGAGCAAACAGG
rnacentral:rRNA from 1 species